rnacentral:misc_RNA from 1 species
UUAAGUUCAGCGGGUAUCCCUACCUGAUCCGAGGUCAACCAUAGAAAAUAGGGGGUUUUGGCAAGUAACCACCUGGACCCUGUAGCGAGAGAAUUACUACGCUUAGAGCCAGAUGGCACCGCCACUGGUUUUAAGGGCCGCGAGACCGCGAAACCCCAAUACCAAGCCGAGGCUUGAGUGGUUAUAAUGACGCUCGAACA